UACGUAGGGGGCUAGCGUUGUCCGGAAUCAUUGGGCGUAAAGAGCGCGUAGGCGGCCAGAUAAGUCCGGUGUGAAAGUCAAAGGCUCAACCUUUGAAUGCCGCUGGAAACUGUCUGGCUAGAGUCCGGGAGGGGCGAGUGGAAUUCCUGGUGUAGCGGUGAAAUGCGUAGAUAUCGGGAGGAACACCAGUGGCGAAGGCGACUUCCUGGCCUGUUCUUGACGCUGAGGCGCGAAAGCUAGGGGAGCAAACGGG
rnacentral:rRNA from 1 species